rnacentral:rRNA from 1 species
UACGUAGGGUGCGAGCGUUGUCCGGAAUUAUUGGGCGUAAAGAGCUCGUAGGCGGCUUGUCACGUCGGAUGUGAAAGCCCGGGGCUUAACCCCGGGUCUGCAUUCGAUACGGGCAGGCUAGAGUGUGGUAGGGGAGAUCGGAAUUCCUGGUGUAGCGGUGAAAUGCGCUGAUAUCAGGAGGAACACCGGUGGCGAAGGCGGAUCUCUGGGCCAUUACUGACGCUGAGGAGCGAAAGCGUGGGGAGCGAACAGG